rnacentral:rRNA from 1 species
UAUGGGUUAGUGGCGGACGGGUGAGUAACGCGUGGGCAACCUGCCUUACACAGGGGGAUAACACUUAGAAAUAGGUGCUAAAACCGCAUAAGCGCACAGGGCCGCAUGGCCCGGUGUGAAAAACUCCGGUGGUGUAAGAUGGACCCGCGUCUGAUUAGCUUGUUGGCGGGGUAGGGGCCCACCAAGGCGACGAUCAGUAGCCGGCCUGAGAGGGUGGACGGCCACAUUGGGACUGAGACACGGCCCAAACUCCUACGGGAGGCAGCAG